GCCGCCAUCGCAUAGUGGUAUUGCACUAGAUUGCUAAUCUAGACCCUUUGGGUUCCAGGGUUCGAUUCCCUGUGGCGGCG
rnacentral:tRNA from 1 species